ensembl:lncRNA LINC00393 long intergenic non-protein coding RNA 393
GGGCCCCGCGGGGCCCGUCCGCUCCUCCAGCCGCUGCCUCCCGGGCGGCGCUUGCCGGCGCGGCGGCAAAGACUUCACAUCCCUGUUAAAGGCAUCCCAUUUUUAUUUCUUUUGUAAAGAGUGGAAACUUUUGGCAGGAGAAUUAUCAACCACGUGACUCCUUUAGGUGUAAUAUUUGCUUAAGAUGUGAUAUACACCAAUGAAUGGUGCGAAGAACCAUGGUAGGUACUAAGGACACAAAGAUGAAAAUGAUUCUCCAAAUUGAUCAGCCUGGACGUUGUUUCCCUCUGAAAUCAAUAGAUUAAUCAUUUUUUAAAUUUCUUGAGGCUCACGUUUGGAGGUCAACUGCAGUGAGGUCUCUAUACCACAGAGUGUUGUUGGCGUCUCACAUGGCCAUUCAUCAGCUCAAUACAAACAAGUCUUCACGGAGGUGGAGUUUCCUCCUCACCUGUUGCUAAACCAGGCAGCGUGGAUUGGCAUAUUCACUGACUUCAUGGCACGAAGGCCUACAAAAGCGGAACAACUUUUCACCAGUGCAAAAAUGUUCCAAAAGAUACUCUCUCUGUCCAAUACACUUGUAAGUGCAUUCUAGAAUAUAAAAAAUAGAGAGAGAUAAAUGUUCUGUUGAAAGAUAAUCUCCCAAAAUAUAAGUUUUUAUGUAAGACAGUGCUCUCAAGUCAUAAAUGGUAAAUUCUUCUGAAAGUCACAGAGGAAAUUACUCUUAAGACCUCUGUCUUGUUAAGUUAUCAUAGUAAUAAAAUCUCAACCUACUAAGGUAACUUUCUAAACAUGUCAGAGCUUGAAAGUCUCUUGUAAACCUCUAAAUACAAAGAAAACCUAAGUUUAUUUAUUGAAGUUCAAGCUGUAGAAAUCUGACAGCUUUGAGGACUUUAAAAGAUACUGAAUCAACUGCUAUAAAAGGAAAACAGUCUUGACAAUUUUAAUUCAUAUAGUAUUACAACUGAAGAAACUAUUUGAUGAUUUAUGAAGGGCACAUUUGCCGGCUGUGUUUUGGAGUUUUUGCAUGAAAAGUGAAUUUGUACUCAGACUGUUUGCAUCUUCAAAGACCCAUGAGCUUGGCUGUAGGGGCAUGCAACAUUAGGUUUGGAAAUAUAUGAAAUAAAUAUUGCUAUGCCUUAAGAAUGUGA